GUGAGUCAUCGAAUCUUUGAACGCACCUUGCGCUCCUUGGUAUUCCGAGGAGCAUGCCUGUUUGAGUGUCAGUAACUUCUCAAGCCCUGCAAAGUUUCAUCUUUGUUGGGACUUGGAUUGUGGAGGUUUUUGCAGGCCUUUGUUAGGUCGGCUCCUCUUAAAUACAUUAGCGGAACUGUUUGUGGUCCGUCACAGGUGUGAUAAUUAUCUACGCCAGUGGGCUACUCUCUGUCGUUCAGCUUCCAACUGUCCCACUUUAUGUGGACAACUAUAACUGAAUGUUUGACCUCAAAUCAGGUAGGACUACCCGCUGAACUUAAGCAUAUCAAUAAGCGGAGGA
rnacentral:misc_RNA from 1 species